AUACGUAGGGGGCGAGCGUUGUCCGGAAUGAUUGGGCGUAAAGGGCGCGUAGGCGGCCCGGUAAGUCUGGAGUGAAAGUCCUGUUUUUAAGAUGGGAAUUGCUUUGGAUACUGUCGGGCUUGAGUGCAGGAGAGGUAAGUGGAAUUCCCAGUGUAGCGGUGAAAUGCGUAGAGAUUGGGAGGAACACCAGUGGCGAAGGCGACUUACUGGACUGUAACUGACGCUGAGGCGCGAAAGUGUGGGGAGCAAACAGGAUUGGAUACCCUGGUAGUCCACACUGUAAACGAUGAAUGCUAGGUGUAGGGGGUAUCGACCCCUUCUGUGCCGCAGUCAACACAAUAAGCAUUCCGCCUGGGGAGUACGGCCGCAAGGUUGAAACUCAAAUGAAUUGACGGGG
rnacentral:rRNA from 1 species